GGUAUUAUUAAUGCUUAUCACUCUUUAGGUCCAUACAGUUCAAUGACAGUUUGAAAAGGAUGUACUGAUACAGGAUUUCCUGGUAGUUUGACACAGCAUGUGGUGGUUCCAGUAAGCCUCUUGCCGAACAAAGCACACCGAGGAACUUCUGAAGCUUCAGUGGAUGAAUGACAGUGCGGAGCCCAAGAGGCAAGCAUUUUAUCCAGUCUUUUGUCAUUUUUCAGCUAACUGCACUAAUGCUUGAGCCACCAUCUAAGGAACUGCCUUGUUAAUAAGAGCAUGAAGCAAAUACCUAAUUGUUCACAGAGCUGGUGAUGUUUCUUUCCAGGGCUUUGGAAAAACUCUGCCACCCUGAAUUUUCAGAACCGCUGCAAACCACACCAAGAAAAUAUUUUUUUCAGGUCAUCACCAAAAUCAAGUAUCUACAAGAGAUGGAGGAUAAUAUCAUGCUUCAGAUGCUGGUCAGGAAUUCAGGAAAUUUGAUUUCAUGUCUGCAUUCAUUUUUGUGUGACCUUGGGCAAGUAGAAUCACCUGGGAGGUGCAAAUGAGAUUCAUUGAAUCAUGACAAUUCUGAACUCAAGUCACCACAGGAGGAACAAGGAGCUUUACUGGAUCAAGCCUCUGCUUAUGAAGAAGGAACAAAUGAAGAAAAUGUAGCACAAGAAUUAACAGUAAAGCAAAGCUUAAUAGUGACCCAGAUAAAGGGCAGAGUGCUACUCUCUGAAUAAAAUGGAAUAAUCAGAACAGCACCAGA